GAGGGUAUAGCUCAAUGGUAGAGCAUGUGCUUAGCAUGCACGAGGUCCUGGGUUCAAUUCCCAGUACUGCCA
rnacentral:tRNA from 1 species